GAUGAACGCUAGCGGCAGGCUUAAUACAUGCAAGUCGAGGGGCAGCAGGUUUGUAGCAAUACAGAUGCUGGCGACCGGCAAACGGGUGCGGAACACGUACACAACCUUCCUUUAAGUGGGGAAUAGCCCAGAGAAAUUUGGAUUAAUACCCCGUAACAUUAUGAUGUGGCAUCACAUUUAUAAAUUAUAGCUCCGGCGCUUGAUGAUGGGUGUGCGGCNGAUUAGAUAGUUGGCGGGGUAACGCCCACCAAGUCUGCGAUCAGUAACUGGUGUGAGAGCACGACCAGUCACACGGGCACU
rnacentral:rRNA from 1 species